rnacentral:rRNA from 1 species
GACGAACGCUGGCGGCGUGCUUAACACAUGCAAGUCGAACGGUGAAGCGCCUUGCUUUUUGGUGGGUGUGGAUGAGUGGCGAACGGGUGAGUAACACGUGAGUAACCUGCCCCCUUCUUCUGGAUAACCGCAUGAAAGUGUGGCUAAUACGGGAUAUUCUGGGUCUGUCGCAUGAUGGGUUUGGGAAAGAUAUUGUUUCGGUGGGGGAUGGGCUCGCGGCCUAUCAGCUUGGUGGUGGGGUGAUGGCCUACCAAGGCGGUGACGGGUAGCCGGCCUGAGAGGAUGGACGGUCACACUGGUACUGAGACACCGACCAGACUCCUACGGGAAGCAGCAGGGGGUAUUAUUGCACAGUGGGCGCAAGCCUGAUGCAGCGACGCCGCGUGGGGGAUGGAGUCCGUCGUGUUGAGAACCUCUUUCGCCAGUGAAGCAGGCCUGCCUCGUUUGUGGGUGGGUUGACGGUAGCUGGAUAAGAAGCGCCGGCUAACUACGUG